UACGGAGGGUGCGAGCGUUAAUCGGAAUUACUGGGCGUAAAGCGUGCGCAGGCGGUUUUGUAAGUCAGAUGUGAAAUCCCCGGGCUUAACCUGGGAAUGGCAUUUGGGACUGCAAGGCUUGAGUGCGGGAGAGGAGACUGGAAUUCCUGGUGUAGCAGUGAAAUGCGUAGAUAUCAGGAGGAACACCGAUGGCGAAGGCAGGUCUCUGGGCUGACACUGACGCUCAUGCACGAAAGCGUGGGGAGCAAAAGGG
rnacentral:rRNA from 1 species